rnacentral:rRNA from 1 species
GAUGAACGCUGGCGGCGUGCCUAACACAUGCAAGUCGAGCGAUUUACUUCGGUAAAGAGCGGCGGACGGGUGAGUAACGCGUGGGUAACCUGCCCUGUACACACGGAUAACAUACCGAAAGGUAUGCUAAUACGAGAUAAUAUACUUUUAUCUCAUGGUAGAAGUAUCAAAGCUCUGGCGGUACAGGAUGGACCCGCGUCUGAUUAGCUAGUUGGUAAGGUAACGGCUUACCAAGGCGACGAUCAGUAGCCGACCUGAGAGGGUGAUCGGCCACAUUGGAACUGAGACACGGUCCAAACUCCUACGGGAGGCAGCAGUGGGGAAUAUUGCACAAUGGGCGAAAGCCUGAUGCAGCAACGCCGCGUGAGCGAUGAAGGCCUUCGGUCGUAAAGCUCUGUCUCAAGGAAGAUAAUGACGGUACUUGAGGAGGAAGCCCCGGCUAACUACGUGCCAGCAGCCGCGGUAAU